GUGAAACCCCAGUGAUGGAUGAGAGCUUCUGUUCCUGCACACAUACACACACCAAAGAAUCAGAGAGAUCCCCCUCCAGAGGAUUCAGAGAGAGGACUGCCAUCAUCCCCAGGCCUCUGGUUUCUAGAGACAGCUGACGGUAUUUGCCUCAGCCUAAUGCACUAUCAUGUGCAACGUUAACACUCACGAGGGACGUUGCUCUUGGUUUGGUCUCCAUGGAGCUAAAUUAUAAUGACAAGCAUCGCCUGAACAGCAUCCUGAACCCAGGGAAGAGCUGACUGUGGCAUCAUUUGAGAGCGUAAUGUCUGCCUGUGCGGCCCAGACAGAGAGACAGGGCUUCCCCCUGACACCAGCAUUGAUUCUCCCAUUGAAAGACUCUCCUUUCUUUCCUGUAGUAUUGAUGAAUGAUUCAUGAGGCUGCACAACGAGUGGAACUUGGCAGUGCACUUUGGACAGAGAGAUUGUGUGAGGAUCACACGGGCAGAGAUUAGCCAAUGCACCUAUUUUCAGAGACGGCUCGUGGCCGUGGACCCGUGAGGGGCAUCAGUAUAAAAUCUCCUUAAUAUGUUGGGCUCAUUAGCUUUUAAUGUUUUUAUAAUGGCCAGAUGCUUGAGCCUCAUGUACACCAAAGCAAAAGGCCCCUGGAUAGUAUUUAUGCAACUGAAUUAGCUCCUACAGGAGACCAGACCUUCUUGUUGUUGUACCACUUUUUUUUUGUGCUGCAUUAUAACAGUAACAUUGAUGAAUUAUUUGUUUUUUGUCUCAGUUAUUGAGGUACAAUGAAAUCUGAAGUGUGCAUGUGUGUGUAUGAAAAUACUUGUUUGCUUAUUUGCUUUUAUGUUUGUUUUUUGGACGGUUAUUUGUUAAUUAAUUAAUUAAUUAUUUUUUUAUUAAUUAAUAAUUCAAAAAAUUAUUAUCAGC
ensembl:lncRNA